rnacentral:rRNA from 1 species
UACGAGGGGGGCUAGCGUUGCUCGGAAUCACUGGGCGUAAAGGGCGCGUAGGCGGGGAGGUAAGUCGGGUGUGAAAUCCCUCGGCCCAACCGAGGAACUGCGCCCGAGACUGCUUCUCUUGAGUCCCGGAGAGGAAGGUGGAAUUCCCGGUGUAGCGGUGAAAUGUGUAGAGAUCGGGAGGAACACCGGUGGCGAAGGCGGCAUCCUGGACCAACACUGACGCUGAGGAGCGAAAGCCAGGGGAGCAAACGGG